rnacentral:rRNA from 1 species
AGAGUUUGAUCAUGGCUCAGGAUGAACGCUAGCGGCAGGCUUAAUACAUGCAAGUCGUGGGGCAGCAUGACUGUAGCAAUACAGUUGAUGGCGACCGGCAAACGGGUGCGGAACACGUACACAACCUUCCUUUUAGUGGGGAAUAGCCCGGGGAAACCCGGAUUAAUACCCCGUAACAUAAUGAAGUGGCAUCACUUUAUUAUUAUAGCAGCAAUGCGCUUUAAGAUGGGUGUGCGACUGAUUAGGCAGUUGGCGGGGUAACGGCCCACCAAACCUACGAUCAGUAACUGGUGUGAGAGCACGACCAGUCACACGGGCACUGAGACACGGGCCCGACUCCUACGGGAGGCAGCAGUAAGGAAUAUUGGUCAAUGGACGCAAGUCUGAACCAGCCAUGCCGCGUGGAGGAUGAAGGUCCUCUGGAUUGUAAACUUCUUUUAUCUGGGAAGAAAUCCACGAAUUCUUUUGUGGUUGACGGUACCAGAUGAAUAAGCACCGGCUAACUCCGUGCCAGCAGCCGCGGUAAUACGGAGGGUGCAAGCGUUAUCCGGAUUCACUGGGUUUAAAGGGUGCGUAGGUGGGCAGGUAAGUCAGUGGUGAAAUCUCCGGGCUUAACUCGGAAACUGCCAUUGAUACUAUCUGUCUUGAAUACCGUGGAGGUCAGCGGAAUAUGUCAUGUAGCGGUGAAAUGCUUAGAUAUGACAUAGAACACCAAUUGCGAAGGCAGCUGGCUACACGAAUAUUGACACUGAUGCACGAAAGCGUGGGGAUCAAACAGGAUUAGAUACCCUAGUAGUCC